CAGCCGCCGCGGUAAUACGUAGGGUGCGAGCGUUAAUCGGAUUUACUGGGCGUAAAGCGUGCGCAGGCGGCCCGUUAAGACAGGUGUGAAAUCCCUGGGCUCAACCUAGGAAUUGCGCUUGUGACUGGCGGGCUCGAGUACGGUAGAGGGGGGUGGAAUUCCUGGUGUAGCAGUGAAAUGCGUAGAGAUCAGGAGGAACACCGAUGGCGAAGGCAGCCCCCUGGGCCUGUACUGACGCUCAUGCACGAAAGCGUGGGGAGCAAACAGGAUUAGAUGCCCUGGUAGUCCACGCCCUAAACGAUGGGUACUAGCCGUUUGGUGCGCGAUAGCGCUGAGUGGCGAAGCUAACGCGUGAAGUACCCCGCCUGGGGAGUACGGCCGCAAGGUUGAAACUUAAAGGAAUUGGCGGG
rnacentral:rRNA from 1 species